rnacentral:rRNA from 1 species
GUUGUAUGGUUAAGUGACUAAGCGUAUACGGUGGAUGCCUUGGCAGUCAGAGGCGAUGAAGGACGUAGUAACUUGCGAAAAGCGUUGGCGAGCUAGUAACAAGCAUUUGAGCUAACGAUAUCCGAAUGGGGAAACCCACUCACAUAAGUGAGUAUCACAUACUGAAUACAUAGGUAUGUGAGGCAAACCCGGGGAACUGAAACAUCUAAGUACCCGGAGGAAAAGAAAUCAACCGAGAUUCCCCUAGUAGCGGCGAGCGAACGGGGAUUAGCCCUUAAGUCUAUAGGGUGUUAGUGGAAUGAGUUGGAAAGCUCAGCGGCACAGGGUGAUAGCCCCGUACAUGAAAACUAACUAUAGAUGAAAACGAGUAGGACGGGACACGUGACAUCUUGUCUGAACAUGGGGGGACCAUCCUCCAAGGCUAAAUACUCCUGACUGACCGAUAGUGAACCAGUACCGUGAGGGAAAGGCGAAAAGAACCCCUGUGAGGGGAGUGAAAUAGAACCUGAAACCGUAUACGUACAAGCAGUGGGAGCGGUCCUUGAGACCGUGACUGCGUACCUUUUGUAUAAUGGGUCAGCGACUUACAUUUUGUAGCAAGGUUAAGCGAAUAGCGGAGCCGUAGGGAAACCGAGUGUUAACUGCGCGUUUAGUUGCAAGGUGUAGACCCGAAACCGAGUGAUCUAGCCAUGGGCAGGUUGAAGGUUGAGUAACAUCAACUGGAGGACCGAACACACGUAUGUUGAAAAAUGCGGUGAUGACUUGUGGCUGGGGGUGAAAGGCCAAUCAAACUCGGAGAUAUCUGGUUCUCCUCGAAAGCUAUUUAGGUAGCGCCUCGUACGAAUACCAUUGGGGGUAGAGCACUGUUAAGGCUAGGGGGUCAUCCCGACUUACCAACCCUUUGCAAACUCCGAAUACCAAUGAGUACUAUACGGGAGACACACGGCGGGUGCUAACGUCCGUCGUGAAAAGGGAAACAACCCAGACCAUCAGCUAAGGUCCCAAAGUUAUUGCUAAGUGGGAAACGAUGUGGGAAGGCUUAGACAGCUAGGAUGUUGGCUUAGAAGCAGCCAUCAUUUAAAGAAAGCGUAAUAGCUCACUAGUCGAGUCGGCCUGCGCGGAAGAUUUAACGGGGCUAAGCAAUACACCGAAGCUAUGGGUUUGCUAGUUUACUAGCAAGCGGUAGAGGAGCGUUCUGUAAGCCGUUGAAGGCGAAGGGGUAACCCACGCUGGAGGUAUCAGAAGUGCGAAUGCUGACAUGAGUAACGAUAAAGGGAGUGAAAAACUCCCUCGCCGAAAGACCAAGGUUUCCUGUCCAAUGUUAAUCAGGGCAGGGUAAGUCGACCCCUAAGGUGAGGCCGAAAGGCGUAAUCGAUGGGAAACGGGUUAAUAUUCCCGUACUUCUACUAACUGCGAUGGAGAGACGGAGAAGGCUAGGCUAGCGCGGCGUUGGUUGUCCGCGUUUAAGGCUGUAGGCUGUUCACUUAGGCAAAUCCGGGUGAACGCAUUAAAUUGCAAAGCUGAGAGUUGAUGACGAGUCCCCAAGGGGAUGAAGUAGUUGAUGCCAUGCUUCCAGGAAAAUCUUCUAAGCUUCAGGUUAGUAGGAAUCGUACCCCAAACCGACACAGGUGGUUGGGUAGAGAAUACCAAGGCGCUUGAGAGAACUCGGCUGAAGGAACUAGGCAAAAUGGUACCGUAACUUCGGGAGAAGGUACGCUGCCGGCGGUGAUGGGACUUGCUCCUUAAGCUGCUGGCAGUCGCAGAUACCAGGUGGCUGCAACUGUUUAUCAAAAAACACAGUACUGUGCAAACUCGCAAGAGGAAGUAUACGGUAUGACGCCUGCCCGGUGCCGGAAGGUUAAUUGAUUGGGUUAUCUUCGGAGAAGCUCAUGAUCGAAGCCCCGGUAAACGGCGGCCGUAACUAUAACGGUCCUAAGGUAGCGAAAUUCCUUGUCGGGUAAGUUCCGACCUGCACGAAUGGCGUAAUGACGGCCACGCUGUCUCCAGCCGAGACUCAGUGAAGUUGAAAUUGCGGUGAAGAUGCCGUAUACCCGCGGCUAGACGGAAAGACCCCGUGCACCUUUACUA